rnacentral:tRNA from 1 species
AGCAAGUGCUACUGCGGCUGGUGCGCCGCCCUCUCAAGGCGGUAGCGCGGGUUCGAGUCCCGUCGGGGCUA